rnacentral:tRNA from 1 species
UGGCUCAGUGGUAGAGCGUUUGCCUUGCAUGCAUGAAGCCUUGGGUUCAAUUCCUUA